rnacentral:rRNA from 1 species
GAUGAACGCUAGCUACAGGCUUAACACACGCAAGUCGAGGGGUAACGAGAGGAAAGCUUGCUUUCCUUGUCGACGACCGGCGCACGGGUGAGUAACGCGUAUCCAACCUGCCCCCAACUAAGGAAUAACCUUGCGAAAGUAAGACUAAUACCUUAUAAUUUCCUCAGAUGUCAUCUGACGAGGAAUAAAGAUUUAUCGGUUGUGGAUGGGGAUGCGUCUGAUUAGCUUGUUGGCGGGGUAACGGCCCACCAAGGCAACGAUCAGUAGGGGUUAUGAGAGGAAGGUCCCCCACAUUGGAACUGAGACACGGUCCAAACUCCUACGGGAGGCAGCAGUGAGGAAUAUUGGUCAAUGGGCGAAAGCCUGAACCAGCCAAGUAGCGUGCAGGAUGACGGCCCUAUGGGUUGUAAACUGCUUUUAUACAGGAAUAAAGUUAGCCACGUGUGGUUAUUUGUAGGUACUGUAUGAAUAAGGACCGGCUAAUUCCGUGCCAGCAGCCGCCGUAA